CUCCACGUCCCAGGCCUCCCUCUCCGAUAGGUCCCGGAGCUGCCAGGCCCUGCUUCCUGCCGCCCACCCCGCCCCCGCACCCCACCGACGGCCAGCUGGGGCCCCUCCAUCAGUCCCUGCUCCCCGCUCCCCCGUCCUAGGAGAGAGCCUUCUGUCUGCGGCACCCGAAGCGCAACUCCCAGGAGGGCAGAGACAGUACGUGCUGUCUUCGAUGACCAGGAGAGCGCCUCCCACACGGCAGGGACCACCACCUCUGCAGCUCUGCCGUGACGCUCCCUUUGAACAUGUGAGUUUGUUCCAAGGUAAUUGAACAAUUCGAGCAUAACGUGAGUUCUGCCUUUUGUGUGAUUUUGUUUAUGAGAAAUACUAGGUGAACACAGAAAACUCCACCAGCUGAACUGAGGUGUGUUUCACGCGCACACACGCACCCCAAAAGUCUCCCGGCUACCUGGUAACCUCUGUUCUGAGCCACCCCCAUCCACACCGCUGUUCCGGCUUUCUAACCACCUGACAAUAUCUCAUGAGCUGCAACCUUUCCGAUGGCAACUUCUACAAGCGAACUUCAGGCCUUUGCAGAGAAAGUACCGUAUUUCUUGUAGUGUCUACGUAUUUUUAAAAAACAAUUUAACAUAUACAAUUGUGCGAACCUAUUUUUUUUACCAGGUUUUUAUCUUUUUAAACAAUGUAUCACUGAUGAAGUAUUUUGAGUGUCCUGCCCCAACCCCAUUUCCCCCGUAAGCCCUGUGGUUUUUAUUGUGCAGUUAUGCAUGGCACCUUGAAUUUGAGGAAUGCUUAUGAUACGUCGUGGCAAAACUGACCAUAUUUGUUGAAUGGUUGAGUAAAUCCUUGCUUUUCUGAGCUGAACCCCAAUUUAUCCUGGUAUACUAUUUUCUCAGUAUACUCAUGAAAUUAAUUUGCUAAUUGCUUGUUGAGGCUGUUUGCACCCAAAAGGCUGUAUAGCGUAAUAGAAUAAGAUGGUGUUACUGUAGGAUGUGAAGGAGCCCAGUGAGGGACAUCUCAUUAUUCUUGCCCAAGACCAACCCAGACACCUGAGGGGUAUGACAAAGGGGACUCAAUAACAUGUAUAUGUAUGUGUACAUAUAUAAAAGAACAUGUAUAUAAAAUUAUCAUCUUGUCACAGGUGAUGUCUGGGUCAGAGCAGAUGACUUGAGCAGGUUGCACCAGUGACUUUCCUAACCCUAAACCCCACAUCUGGACUCACCUGCCCAGUGGUGGGCAACUCGGCAGCUCUACAGGCCACGCCCAGGGGGAGCAGCCCCUGGAAACUCACGGCAGAGAAUUUCAGGUGGUAAAACUCACGCCAUGUUCCAGGUGCCCAUUUCCCAAACUCCUGGCCUGCCCUGGUCUUUUAUGUGAGUCUGUGCUGCCUGGGAGCCCUUCACGUCUCUGAGCCUUUGGCCUUGGGCCCAGAGAGAAUCCCUCUGCCCUCCGAGCCUCCACCCCGCUGGGAGGAGCCGGGGUCUCAGUAGCACUAGGCCCAGAGAGGGCCAGCAUUCCCGGGAAGGAAGCAGCUGCUGCUGGCAUCUGUGGGGAACAACUGUAUGAACCUCCCGGGAGUAGCAAACAGAGGAGGCCUGUGAUGACCACUGGGACUACUGCAAACAUCCUGGGCAGUCUGCUGACUGGAGAAAACAAUGUGGACACAGCCAGUGCAAAGCAGGAGUGGACAGUCCCUCUUCUGCAGUGAAGUAGUUCAGAUGGCUGGCGGAAAAAUCUGCUGAGACCAGCAAUUCUGAGUGAACUAUUGUGAAAUCCUUCACUGCGGAGUUGCGACAAUGGGGAAGAGGAACUGCCCCAAACAAAGAAGUCGCUGAAAACCAAAGCGGGAAAGCCACCCCACCCCCACCCCGCCCUGGGGAAUUUGCAGUCUUGGUAACCAAGAGCUCCGGGCGUCAAUGACAGACAAGAUGGUGAGCCUUUAGAAAGUUCCCAGUUGGAACUGAGACUCCCACACAAAGUGUGCAGCCUAGAAGGCUCACCUCUUUAGUGAAUGAAUGAAUUCAAACAUUUUCAAACCAUCAGCAACAGGAGAGGAGAAAGAAAUUUUCCUCUCCAGGGCUCUUCUAGGACGAAAAAUAAAAGAUCUUCCCUAAGGUUUGUAACAAGGGCCCAGGCCUGGGAGGAGUUGGGACCAGGACAGCGGGUGGGGGAUUCAAACUGAACAUCCUUUUGAGGUCCUGGAAACAGCAUGCUGAGAAAUUAAGGGGUCCAGGCUGCUAGUUCCUUAAAGAUCCCAGAAGCAAUACAAGGCAACUUCUCUGGAAGGAUGUACCUUCAGCCGGGGUCUCCCGUGAUCCCCUUGGAUAAAGCUCAUCGUCCAAAGUCUCAGAACAGGUAAGAGGACAAGUUGCCGCAAGCCAGAGCCAGCUCAGUCUAAUUCCCAGGCAGCAGGAUUACCAGAUCGGAGACGUAAGACAGGGGGAGGAGACAGCUCAGUGGUCGCACGUGCUUAGCAUGCACGAGGUCCUGGGUUCAAUCCCCCGCACCGCCAUUUAAAGAAUUAAAUAAAUAAACAAACCUCAUUACCUCCCCCCCAAAACAAACAAACAAAAACCCGCAAAGUCAUGUUUUAAAAACAAAAAAUAGGUGAGAGAUAUGAGAAAAAUAUGAUACUAAAUAACUGGCUUUCAGCAGAAUACGACGUUACCGAGGUCAGAGACAAUGACUGACCUCGUGCCUCAGCCUGGUCCGGUUCCAGUCCACCCUCAUGGCGCCAGCUCCCACUGGGGGGCUGCGGGUGGCUCCUGAGCUCCCUUCCCGACAGCCUGCCUGUGGACAGUGAGCACCCGGCAUCGACGGAGACUCGCCACUGCUGUCCCCACUGGACCCGUCUCGCUUGAGUUCUUCUUCUCAGACAAGACCUGUCAAAGCAGCUGCCUCGCCUGGAGGGAGCCUGGCUGGAACAAGGAGCUGGUUCCGGGACAUCCAGCCUGGAGGGGGAACGGGACCAGGCGUCGCAGCCCCAAGUCCCAGCUCCUCGUGCAUCCCCUGCCGGGGUCCCACUGGAGCCCAUCUGUCGGGUUAGGGGAGGGAGUCGCCCCAGGACCCCAGUCCUCCCCUAGGGCCCAGAAGGGUGCGUCUCCUUUCUCCGCCCUGCCGCAGAGGUAGCAGGUAGGGGGAGAGAAAAUUGGAUGAAGGCAGUCAAAAGGCACAAACUUCCAGUUAUAGAAGAAAUGAGCAGUAAGGAUGUAACGUACAGCAUGAUAAAUGCAAUGAACAUGCUGCAUGUCAUACAUGAAAGUAGCUAAGAGUAAAUCGUGACAGUUCUCAUCACAAGAACAAACUUUUCCAUUUCCCUGAUUUUGCAUCAAUAUGAGAUGAUGGAUGUUCUAAACUGAUUGUGAUAAUCAUUUCAUGAUGUAUGUUAAGUCAAAUCAGUGCGCUGUACACUGUAAACUUGUAGAGCACUCUGUGUCAAUUAUGUCUCAAGGAGACUGGAAGAAAAACUAAAAAUAAAUAAAAAUAAAAAGAUUCAGGAGGACUUCCGUGUCUAGUCAAGAUGGAACAAUCAGGACCGGUUUAUUUUCUGACCUAAACAACUGAAAACAAAACCUGACGAAAGGGUAAGGAAAACAGCCCUCAAGACACUGGGUAUCGG